GGAUGGGACAGUGAUAGAGGGGAUACAUUCUGCUCUGUGGCAUCACUGACAGAAUUCAGCAUCAACUGGAAUUCAGUUGCACAGAACUGAGAUAGGGAGAUGCUGGCGUCUUCCACGCUGGCCAAUCUGGCCCCUCAAUAUAGACAGCAGCUGCAUUUCCUCAAUAUGCCCCCACAUUGAAGAUCAUCUUGGACCAACAACAAGGACCUUGGUUCUCCUGAGGCUCCAUGAUGUCCCUGUGAGGACUACUUGGUGAAGACACAGGAAGCCCCUCCUCCUCUGCUCCUACUCACAAGGAGCCUGCCCCGGUGAACCUCCACGUUUCCUGACCUGCCAUGGGCACCGGGCUCCUCUGCUGUGUGGCCCUCUGUCUCCUGGGAGCAGACCACAUCCAUGCUGGAGUCUCCCAGUUCCCCAGGCACAGGGUCACAAAGAGGGGACAGAAUGUUGCUUUCAGAUGUGAUCCAAUUUCUCAACACAAUGUCCUUUACUGGUACCGACAGACCCAGGGACAAGGCCUGGAGUUUCUGAUGUAUUUCCAGAAUAAACUUGCAGCAGACACAACAGGGAUGCCCAGUGAGCGGUUCUCUGCUGAGAGGCCAGAGGGGUCCUUCUCCACUCUGAAGAUCCAGCCCACAGAGCAGGGGGACUCGGCUGUGUACCUCUGUGCCAGCA